rnacentral:rRNA from 1 species
UACGGGGGGGGCAAGCGUUGUUCGGAAUUACUGGGCGUAAAGAGCUCGUAGGUGGCCAACUAAGUCAGACGUGAAAUCCCUCGGCUUAACCGGGGAACUGCGUCUGAUACUGGAUGGCUUGAGUUUGGGAGAGGGACGCGGAAUUCCAGGUGUAGCGGUGAAAUGCGUAGAUAUCUGGAGGAACACCGGUGGCGAAGGCGGCGUCCUGGACCAACACUGACACUGAUGAGCGAAAGCCAGGGGAGCAAACGGG